ACGUCCCUAAGCAAGCAAGCAAGUACUACAAAAAGCAAUUACUUCUGUACCAAGAUUGAAGAAAUCCUCAAUUAAUGGCCCAAAGAAAGCAAUCAGUUUCUCUAAAAUUCUCAAAGAACUGCCAUUGGUUGUGUUCGUACCAACGCAAUAAAUAAAUCCUCAAAUUUGUCUGUUCUAUAUUGUAUGAUUAUGUCUAUGAUAUAAUUUCUAUCUCUGUCUUCUCACUUACGUAUAUGUGAUUUUUCAGGAGAAUAAUAGAGACUUACUCUGCAAAAAGUUGUUGUACGCUUCUGUGCUUCUUGAUUGGUUCUUGCUGAAGACAAAAGAUGCUAUAUAUGGACAAGAAGCUCUUUGAAAAUUACAAAGUAGGAGAUGUUUUCAGCAAUGCACAAAUUUUUGCAAUGCUUUAUAGGGCAGCUCUCAAUUGGACCAUAUGAUUUUCUUUGGCCAUGGUCUAAACAUAUAUCAACAUCAUAUAUUUGGUUGAUCGUGAGGCAGUGAGGCAUAGGAUGAUGAGUUAAAUGAUCGCAAACCAUACUUGUAGUUUUUCAUGAAUUGUCAAACUUGUGGCUUUUUAUAAAUUGUCAAGUGUGCAGUAGUACAAUUACUAUCACAGACUCCCGCUUGAUUUGGAUGCUUUUUCUUUGGACAAAAAAUAUUUUACAAUCUUAA